CCCUUAGAUGUUCUGGGCCGCACGCGUGCUACACUGAGUGGAUCAGCGGGUCAGGUUGCGCGAAAGUGUUUCCUAAUCUUGAAAUCCGCUCGUGAUGGGGAUUGACGGUUGCAAUUUUCCGUCAUGAACGAGGAAUACCUUGUAAGCGCGGGUCAUCAUCCCGCGCUGAAUACGUCCCUGCCCUUGUACACACCGCCCGUCGCUCCUACCGAUUGAGUGGUCCGGUGAGGCUUUGGGAUCUGAGCAAAGAGAGCGUUUCGCUCGUUUUGCCCGGAAAACUCAGUCGAACCUUAUCAUUUAGAGGAAGGAGAAGUCGUAACA
rnacentral:rRNA from 1 species